GUGAAUCAUCGAAUUUUUGAACGCAAAUUGCGCUUCCUGGUAUCCCGGGAAGUAUGCCUGUUUGAGGGUCAGUAUUAACAAAAAUCGGUUUGGUUGCAAAUUGUUGCGUUUCCGGGGUUUGGGCUUAUUUUAAAUUUUUUGGUUAAGGGGCUUAAAAUUUACCUUUUUUGCGCAUUUUUUGACGUACAUAAAUUUUUUUUUUUUUCUUUUUUUUUUAUUCCAAAAUCUUAAUUGAUUGCG
rnacentral:misc_RNA from 1 species